GAAAAGGUGUACAAAACCGUGCAUAGAAACUACCAUAGACUUGAAUGGUAGAGGCUCACUCUAGACGUUAGCGGUUUGAAAAACGUUUCUAUGGUAACAGUGAAUUGGACAAAUCUGAGACGUCAUUGUUGGAUUUAGGAUUGUGGGCUGUGUGUUCUCCAUUCAAUGGCUGAUAAAACUUGUUUUUCUUAAAACCAGGUUGUAGCUUCUACAGGAGCAGAAACGUUUGUUACACAAAUUCGUAGCUCGUGGUCCAUUGACCUUGGAUGGUUUAGACAUUAUGGCUAAUAAUCAAAAACCUUACGGAGAAAAUGAACGGGAUUUUCACUUCCGGAACCACACUGUUGAGCUUUAUUUGGCUGGGGGGUGAAAAAGUUAACUUUGGACCGUAGUCAGAGUGCAACCUGAUUCCUAUGUUAACUUCUUAGGUUGUAGCCUACCGAAUGGAAACCGACGUCCUCUACGAAAGGUUCGUACUGUAGGAGGGUGAAAAAGAAGUGACGGCAACAUAAAAAAGUGUGCAUUGGUUGGGUGGUUGUGUUUUUAGGGAAAAACAGAUGAAAAAAAAUCUAUUUUUUAUUAUUUUUUACUUUGUACAAGCACCGUGAUGUAAUUACCUCAAUCGAAAACCUAUUUUACUGUCUAAAAGUUCUAUUGUUGUAAAAUACAAUUAUUUUAUGUAGUGUAAAAUCUUACAGUUUUAUAAAAAAGGAAAGCAAUGUUUGUUCAGAAAUUGUUGGGAUAAAAUGUGGAUUUCUGCUCCAUUGGAUAAUUUUUUUUUUUUUAGGGCAUUUCUUUUGGUUUGUACUCUCUAAGCCCAGAAUGAAAAUACAGAAGCUUAAUGUUACUGUUCACUUGUCACAAACCUUGACAUGCAGGGCUUCCCCCAGAAGAGUUGUUUAGCUUGGUUGCAAGUGGGCCCGGUUACAGAGCAUUAAUGUAGAGCCCAAUAGUUCUGUGUUAACAGAAUCAUGGAAGGAAUGGCUAAAUUGAGAAUU